rnacentral:rRNA from 1 species
ACACGCGUAUCCAACCUGCCCAUCACUUGGGGAUAACCUUGCGAAAGUAAGACUAAUACCCAAUGAUAUCUCUAGAAGACAUCUGAAAGAGAUUAAAGAUUUAUCGGUGAUGGAUGGGGAUGCGUCUGAUUAGCUUGUUGGCGGGGUAACGGCCCACCAAGGCGACGAUCAGUAGGGGUUCUGAGAGGAAGGUCCCCCACAUUGGAACUGAGACACGGUCCAAACCCCUACGGGAGGCAGCAGUGAGGAAUAUUGGUCAAUGGACGAGAGUCUGAACCAGCCAAGUAGCGUGCAGGAUGACGGCCCUAUGGGUUGUAAACUGCUUUUAUAAGGGAAUAAAGUGAGAGUCGUGACUCUUUUUGCAUGUACCUUAUGAAUAAGGACCGGCUAAUUCCGUGCCAGCAGCCGCGGUAAUACGGAAGGUCCGGGCGUUAUCCGGAUUUAUUGGGUUCAAAGGGAGCGUAGGCCGGAGAUUAAGCGUGUUGUGAAAUGUAGACGCUCAACGUCUGCACUGCAGCGCGAACUGGUUUCCUUGAGUACGCACAAAGUGGGCGGAAUUCGUGGUGUAGCGGUGAAAUGCUUAGAUAUCACGAAGAACUCCGAUUGCGAAGGCAGCUCACUGGAGCGCAACUGACGCUGAAGCUCGAAAGUGCGGGUAUCGAACAGGAUUAGAUACCCUGGUAGUCCGCACGGUAAACGAUGGAUGCCCGCUGUUGGUUUGAAUAGGUCU